GACAGGAUUCUAACAUGAUUUGUAUUAACAAAGCAGUUAUUUGUGCUUGUAUUUUUAACUUUAGUGUGAGCUUUCAAGAUCCUGAGUCGAAUCUACAUUCUCAGUUUAGGCACAUAAAAAGCCUAGAAAAAUCAUCAGCUCUCUUAAUUUAAUUUUCAGAAACAUAUCUCCUUACUCCUGAAAUGGAUACAUUUGGUCAAAAGCAAAUUAUGCAUAUGGUUAACUUGUUGGAUUUGGUAUCACUGAAUUUAUGAUGUUUUCAACUCUAUCCUGGAUGCCUUUGGACCAUUAGUGGAUACCUUGGGUCUUGUGAAUUUAGACCUAGAUUUAAGAGUAAUGUGGUACAUAAAAAUGUAAAAAAAAAAUUAUGUUUUAUUUGAAAUGAUGUGAAGCCUUUUGGUAUAGUUUGGAAUUCUUGGGUACCAUCAAGACUUUUCUUCAUUGCAUGGGAAGCCAAAUGGGGUAGCAUUCUAACUUUGGAUCAGCUUAAAAGGAAGGAUUGAAAGAUCCCUAAUAGAUGCUACAUGUGCAAAGAAGAAGAAGAAACAAUUGAUCAUAUCAUUCUUCAUAGUCUGAAAGCAGUCUUAUUGUGGCAGUUGAUUUACGCCUUUGUUGGUGUUCAUUGGGUGAUUAAUUCUUCAUUAAAAAGUGAACUUCAGAGCUGGCAGGGGCCCUUUGUCAGAAGGAAGAGAAAAAAAGUUCAGAAAGUUGCUCCAUUGUGCCUUCUUUGGACUAUUUGGAAGGAGAGAAACAGCUAUCAUCAAUUCGUCCAUAAAAACAAGCCUUAUCUUGUGAUCAAACAAAGCUCUGGUCAGAGUCUCUCGUUAAAAGGGAGUGGUUGAGACCUGAGAGCUUUUCUUUUGUGGCAACUGAGAUGAUGAAUGGCAAUGAGUACAUAUAGUCCCAGUAAGCUUGUUGAAUGAAUCAUGUGCAAUAAAGCCCUUCAAAGCAAAAUGCCCACAAAGCUAAAAAGGGCAAAUCAGUACUGGAGGUAGAAAAUGAACACCAUGGCCCCUACCGUUUCUUGCUUGCUUCAGACAAAAGGUAUGCUUUUCUCUCUUUAAAUCAUAAUGUGGAAAACAUGUUUUCUUUUUCUUUUCAUCAUUUGCCUCAAAUGCCCACAAUGUCAUUAAUUAAUAUAUGCCUAAAUAUACAUGUAUGUGAUUGUGUCAAUCAAAAGAUUUUGUAUCUGAUUUAUUAAGAGAGGGUGUUUAAUCAUAUUGCAGAAGCUCAAUGAAGAAAUUUAUUGAAA